rnacentral:rRNA from 1 species
UGCAGUCGAACGGCAGCAUGAUCUAGCUUGCUAGAUUGAUGGCGAGUGGCGAACGGGUGAGUAAUACAUCGGAACGUGCCCUGUAGUGGGGGAUAACUAGUCGAAAGAUUAGCUAAUACCGCAUACGACCUGAGGGUGAAAGUGGGGGACCGCAAGGCCUCAUGCUAUAGGAGCGGCCGAUGUCUGAUUAGCUAGUUGGUGAGGUAAAGGCUCACCAAGGCGACGAUCAGUAGCUGGUCUGAGAGGACGAUCAGCCACACUGGGACUGAGACACGGCCCAGACUCCUACGGGAGGCAGCAGUGGGGAAUUUUGGACAAUGGGCGAAAGCCUGAUCCAGCAAUGCCGCGUGUGUGAAGAAGGCCUUCGGGUUGUAAAGCACUUUUGUCCGGAAAGAAAUGGCUCUGGUUAAUACCUGGGGUCGAUGACGGUACCGGAAGAAUAAGGACCGGCUAACUACGUGCCAGCAGCCGCGGUAAUACGUAGGGUCCAAGCGUUAAUCGGAAUUACUGGGCGUAAAGCGUGCGCAGGCGGUUGUGCAAGACCGAUGUGAAAUCCCCGAGCUUAACUUGGGAAUUGCAUUGGUGACUGCACGGCUAGAGUGUGUCAGAGGGGGGUAGAAUUCCACGUGUAGCAGUGAAAUGCGUAGAGAUGUGGAGGAAUACCGAUGGCGAAGGCAGCCCCCUGGGAUAACACUGACGCUCAUGCACGAAAGCGUGGGGAGCAAACAGGAUUAGAUACCCUGGUAGUCCACGCCCUAAACGAUGUCAACUAGUUGUUGGGGAUUCAUUUCCUUAGUAACGUAGCUAACGCGUGAAGUUGACCGCCUGGGGAGUACGGUCGCAAGAUUAAAACUCAAAGGAAUUGACGGGGACCC